GAAUACAACAUCCAUUACGAGAUCCAGACAACUGACCCAACUGAGAAGAAUCUUGAAGUCCUUAGAGAUCAUGCAAUCUGAUUCUAAGCAUUACACUUGGAUUUGGGCUCGUGACUUUGAUAACCACUGCAGCAGCAGGAGGGUAACUUGAGCUUCCUCACUGUCGUUAUGCUUCUAAGGAAAGGCAAAGGACGGAUAAGAAAUCCAUGCUAAUAAGGGAGGGUUUUGGAGGAAAGGAGAACAACCAACCACUUAUCGAUGAGGGCCUUAUCAAAAAUAGAUUAUGAAUCUGAUAGCAUCACCAUAAGUUUUCUGAUACCUGACUGUGAAGCAAGAAAAGGAAAAAAUCUGUCCAAUGGUCCCAUGAAGAAAAGAAA